rnacentral:sRNA from 1 species
UAUAACGGAAUCACUUUUUUUUAGUCGUUUGUGCUACAUGCUAUUCGAAGGGAGUAUUACCACUUUCAACAUUGUGGUUAUUGUUCAACGUCAAUGUGGGCAUAAAAAAAGCGCCCGGAGGCGCUUUUUAUGACGU